rnacentral:rRNA from 1 species
ACGAACGCUGGCGGCGUGCUUAACACAUGCAAGUCGAACGGAAAGGCCCUGCUUUUGUGGGGUGCUCGAGUGGCGAACGGGUGAGUAACACGUGAGUAACCUGCCCUUGACUUUGGGAUAACUUCAGGAAACUGGGGCUAAUACCGGAUAGGAGCUCCUGCUGCAUGGUUGGGGUUGGAAAGUUUCGGCGGUUGGGGAUGGACUCGCGGCUUAUCAGCUUGUUGGUGGGGUAGUGGCUUACCAAGGCUUUGACGGGUAGCCGGCCUGAGAGGGUGACCGGCCACAUUGGGACUGAGAUGCGGCCCAGACUCCUACGGGAGGCAGCAGUGGGGAAUAUUGCACAAUGGGCGGAAGCCUGAUGCAGCAACGCCGCGUGCGGGAUGACGGCCUUCGGGUUGUAAACCGCUUUCGCCUGUGACGAAGCGUGAGUGACGGUAAUGGGUAAAGAAGCACCGGCUAACUACGUG